UUAUGCUGGGUCUUGGCACUGGGAGAAUUCACAGGAGUUAUAUAAUUACCCGUGAGUUUCCUGAUGCCUCAGCUCAGUGUAG
rnacentral:pre_miRNA from 1 species